GUUGCUGCCCUCUGCCCUCUCACGACCACGCCGUCGGGGCAGUUUUGGCCACCUCCCCACACCUCGCCCCACCUCUUCCUCAGAUCCUCCCCGCCAGCCAUCGCCCUCGACCUGUGCCUCCGUCUGCACGCGCCGCCAGACCACCGCACCCAUGCUCCAAGUGCUCGGGCUGCCCCAUCCACGCGCUGCCCGGGCCGCCACACCCACUCGCCGCCCAGACACAGGCGCCGAACCUCCACGCUACAGAUGUAUUGGAGACGGCAGGCAGCGGCAGCAGGAGGAAGAUGACUGGGGCAACGAGCUCAGAUGCACACUUCUCUGGAAGUCCAGGCAGCUGGCAACAGGCAACCAAGACCCAAGACGAUGGGCUAGGUACUUCAUCUCCCGCCCCGCGCAGUAGGUUCAGUAAGCUUUGCCUCCAACAUGUGGCCUAUUAGCUCUUGACUUGUUUUCUGACUCAAGUCUGCAUGUGUUCUUAUCCAAUUCCGCAUGUGUUUCUGUUCUCUUUUGUUGAUUAUAUUACUCUUUUGUGUGACAACCCUAUUUUGCGUGUUUAAGUUAUGCCAUAUGCGAUCAUGAAUUCAUUAUUGUAGAGACUACAGAGGAACUCCAGCUUGCUUUGUUAGGAAAUUAAACCGUAGGGCAAUCACGUGUGAGUACAGUGACAUAAUAAAACUGUCAAAAAUAUACAACAACAAUGCAUCAUAUGAAUGAACACUUUGUAUUUGCAUUUUGUUGUAACUAGAAGUUCAGUAACUAAAAGGUAAACCCACAAUUGACAUGUCAUUGCUUUAGUUGGCCAAAAGAGACAUGUUUCUGAAAAUACAUUCAUCAAGUUCUUUAUUGCCUAUAAAUACCACCUGUAAGUAUUCCAUCUUCAUUUCAUAAAUUCACUAUUUGGACCAUUAAGCACAGACAAGAAUCAAUUCGGAAUAUGGACCUUUAAGCACAAACAUAAAUUAUGUGUACCAAUCGAAUAUUUUUCUGGUACAAGAUUGCCCUCUAUGGCCUGAUAUCUGCAAAUAUUUCUCAAAGACAUGAAUGAGUUGAUGCUGCCUUAUCCCACGUCGGUGCAGUCUACUCUUUGGUUGGUGUCGAGCCACAGUUCCGAUGCCUUGCUGCUCAGGUCGGGAGAAGUCGCGGUAGUGCACACACUGUCGUUUGUUGCUGGGAUCAACAUACUACUAUAGUGAAUUUAUGGCUUCUAUCUUGCAUGGAUGCCUAGGUGGCUGUUGUUGUCGCCUUCAUGCCCACAAGAGCUUGUUUGUCGCCGAGGUCGCCAGGCAAAAGUGUCCUUUUCUGCUUCGAGCUGCUUUGACCGGUGGCACACUUCAGUGAUAAUGCUCUCACCUCAUGGACAACACAGUCGUGGGACUCGUGUUUGCUGGCGGAAAGGUGGAGCAAGAGGUCUCUGAAGCUGCAGCAGAACGAGUCUGUAGAGACGGUGUUGAAUUUUAUCAAGGUUUUUUCAUUUGUUUUGAACCAUCCAGGAGAGACAAGGUUGCUUCAUUUGCAAGCUCAAAACGCUUUAUGAUUGUAUUCUGCUUCUCUACCCAGUUCAUUGAACCUAUGAAAUUGGUUGUCGGUGUUUGAUCCCAUUAGUAGUAUGAUCAAUUUUGUUUUGAGACAUGCAGUCCCCAAAUCCAACACUCCCCACGAUCCGACGAAUGGGAGAGGGAAGCUGAGCAAUGGCCGCACCACUGUAGACAAACAGCUUAACAAUGAGGUAUUAUAAUGUAAUGAAAAUAAUUGUUUGUUUCUUCUCGUGCCUUUCUAUGUAGGUCUGCUUCGUAUAGUUCAUGUACUGUUCUGUCCUUGCAUUGUUUUCUUCUACUAUUUUUGUUGUAUAUUACUUAGUACAUCGGUUGGUGUAAAAUUUCCCAUGUUUUGGUUAAUCUAGCCAGUAAAAAUAAGUUCAGUUUGGUAGGCUGUGCACUUGUUAAACCACCUUUAACUGAACAUGUACAAGCAUCAAAUCUAGGAUAUUUCAAGUCUCUUCACAAAAAAUAUAUUACAUAGCAGUAGUUUCAUCUUAUUGUUCUACCAACCCGAGUUUGAGGUGUAUUUGUGGUACUUUGAAGUAUAAAAAUUGUAGUAAUUGUCCUUCCUCUCUUCAUUUUUUUGUAUUCUUUUAGCUCAGGCUUACACUUUGUGACUGGGCAUUAAAUUGCAUUCUUCUGUUUUGCUGUUGCAAAGAGAGAAUAAAAAUGGGAUGCGCUGCCACAUGAAAAACUUGGACUAAUUGAUAAGAUACCAAACCUGGGCACUAUGUAGUUGUUCUGCAUCUGAAAUCUCUUUAUAUAGUAGUUGAGUAUACUGUAGUUAAUUUCACCGAUAUUUGUGUGUCAGUUAUUUGGUUAUUUGGUCUGAACCUACAAUCCAAGGUUAGUAAUUAUUUAGUCUGAAACUACAAUUCCUUUUCAUGUCUUGUUGUAAACUUCUCUUGACACAAAGAGUUUCUGGAGUUUGGAUGGCAAUUUGAAAAUUCCAGUGUGUGCUUCAAGAUGUAUGCAUCUAAUUUUGGAGCCUAUUCAUGUUGGUUUAGCAUAUUUCCACCACACUCCAUAUCUCACAGGAUUUAGAGCAGAGGGCCUUUUACAAUAAAUACUACAUAACAUAGUGUUGUUCGGUGGGAUGCAAUUUUUUUUGUUUCAUUCAUCCGCUAUCCUUGUUGUAUUUUACAUAGCUUAUAAUACUAUUUGCUGUGUUUCAGGGGCAGGAUAUGCAAUAUAGGAUAACUUGACUAAGCUUUGUGAAAUUUUGGUUCCAUUGGGUGACUUUUAUUUUCCUUUGAUGCCUAAGAUGCACAUGGAAAAUCACAUAAUUUGAUCCUUCUGAGUCUGGUAGAUUCGCUACCAAUGGUUGACUUAGCACUUAUCUUGUGUUGCAUAAUUGUUUCAGAUUACCAUCCUUGUAUAGCAGCAAAUCAACUACGUGCCUCUUUUGAGAAGCAAAGAUGUUGAUUGUCCACCUUGAAGGUUAUAGUUUCUAAAGAGGCUACACAUGCCAUUUAGAAUAUCUUAUCUCACAACUUUCACUUGAUCAGUCUAAGAAUGAAAGGAAGUAGCAUUAAAUAUACAAAAGUCUCCAUAAGGUUAGCUUAAGACGGUAGUGUCCCAUCUUUAAAUCCGCCAAGAACGCUAGAAACAAAUUUGAUUACCGACUGGACAUAUCUGUCAUGCAUGUUUAGUACCUUGACUCUUUAAUCUUUAUAUAUAGACAAAGCUCUAUAUCGAGGGAUGAAGUGUUUGGAGCCCGGAUGAAGAAUGCUUCCGUGGUGGAGAAAGAGGAGAACUAUUGAGAAUGCUUGCAAACCGCUUAGAAUUUUUGUUUAGCAGACUCGGACUCCUUGUGUUCUUUUUUUAGUCGCGGACUCCUUGUUUGAUACAAUACAUCUGAAGAGCCCUUUUUGCGCACUGUUCAAAUAAGCUCUUCAUUUUUGUGAGUCUGGUCAAACAACGCACUUCAAAUAAUGAAGUUAUUGUCUCGGGGAUAUUGGCCAAAUGUUGUACUUAUCAUCCUAGAUAAUCCCU
rnacentral:rRNA from 1 species